rnacentral:rRNA from 1 species
AUAAAGUGACGGUACCCAAGGAACAAGCCCCGGCUAAAUACGUGCCAGCAGCCGCGGUAAUACGUAGGGGGCCAGCGUUGUCCGGAAUUACUGGGGGUAAAGGGCGAGUAGGCGGGUUCGUAAGUCAGUUGUGAAAGGCCUCGGGUUAACCGCCGCAUUGCACAUGAAACUGGAUAGCUUGAGUGCAGGAGAGGAAAGUGGAAUUCCUAGUGUAGCGGUGAAAUGCGUAGAUAUUAGGAGGAACACCAGUGGCGAAGGCGACUUCCUGGACUGUCCCUGACGCUGAGCG